rnacentral:rRNA from 1 species
GGCUCAGGACGAACGCUGGCGGCGUGCUUAACACAUGCAAGUCGAACGAUGAACCACUUCGGUGGGGAUUAGUGGCGAACGGGUGAGUAACACGUGGGCAAUCUGCCCUGCACUCUGGGACAAGCCCUGGAAACGGGGUCUAAUACCGGAUACUGAUCCUCUUGGGCAUCCAAGCGGUUCGAAAGCUCCGGCGGUGCAGGAUGAGCCCGCGGCCUAUCAGCUAGUUGGUGAGGUAAUGGCUCACCAAGGCGACGACGGGUAGCCGGCCUGAGAGGGCGACCGGCCACACUGGGACUGAGACACGGCCCAGACUCCUACGGGAGGCAGCAGUGGGGAAUAUUGCACAAUGGGCGAAAGCCUGAUGCAGCGACGCCGCGUGAGGGAUGACGGCCUUCGGGUUGUAAACCUCUUUCAGCAG